rnacentral:misc_RNA from 1 species
GAGUCAAUAGAAAGCUAGAACUUUAGAUAACUACACUAAAGUCAAAAGGCUUUAAGUUAAAUAGAACGAAGACACUCAAGACAGAAUACAUGCAUUGCAAUUUCAGUGAAGGCCAAAUUGGUGAUAGAGAAGGAGUUAAUUUAAAUGGAGUGGUACUGUCCCAUUUAGGCUCAGUCCUUCAAGUAAAUGGGGAAUAUGAGGAAGAUGUUAAUCAUAGGAUUAAAACCGAAUGGUUGAAGUGGAGACAUGCCACGGGAGUUUUAUGUGAUCGU